UAAUAAGUAUCAAAUAAUUGAUAAAAUCAAUAAGAGGGGUCUUUUUUAUCUCACGAUUCAGCAAGAUCAAGAAA
rnacentral:tRNA from 1 species